rnacentral:rRNA from 1 species
AGAGUUGAUCCUGGCUUAGAACGAACGCUGGCGGCAUGGAUAGGCAUGCAAGUCGAACGGAGCAGCAAUGCUCCAGUGGCGCAAGGGUGAGGAACACGUGAACAACCUGCCUUCGAGUUGGGGAUAGCUUCUGGAAACGGGAGAUAAUACCGAAUAACAUCAUUUGGUCGCAUGACCGGAUGAUCAAAGCAGCAAUGCGCUUGAAGAGGGGUUCGCGUCCCAUUAGCUAGUUGGUGAGGUAACGGCCCACCAAGUCGACGAUCGGUAGCCGACCUGAGAGGGUGAUCGGCCACAUUGGGACUGAGACACGGCCCAAACUCCUACGGGAGGCAGCAGUGGGGAAUAUUGGGCAAUGGGGGGAAAAACCCCCUGACCCAGCAACGCCGCGUGAGGGAAGAAGGUUUUCGGAUCGUAAACCUCUGUCCUUGGUGAAGAGUGAGAGACGGUAGCCAAGGAGGAAGCCCCGGCUAACUACGUGCCAGCCGCCGC